rnacentral:rRNA from 1 species
GGGAAUUUUCCGCAAUGGGCGAAAGCCUGACGGAGCAAUACCGCGUGAGGGAUGAAGGCCUCUGGGCUGUAAACCUCUUUUCUCAAGGAAGAAGAACUGACGGUACUUGAGGAAUAAGCCACGGCUAAUUCCGUGCCAGCAGCCGCGGUAAUACGGGAGUGGCAAGCGUUAUCCGGAAUUAUUGGGCGUAAAGCGUCCGCAGGCGGUCUUGAAAGUCUGUUGUUAAAGCGUGGAGCUUAACUCCAUUUCAGCAAUGGAAACUUCAAGACUAGAGUGUGGUAGGGGCAGAGGGAAUUCCCGGUGUAGCGGUGAAAUGCGUAGAUAUCGGGAAGAACACCAGUGGCGAAGGCGCUCUGCUGGGCCAUAACUGACGCUCAUGGACGAAAGCCAGGGGAGCGAAAGGGAUUAGAUACCCCUGUAGUCA